GAGUUUGAUCGUGGCUCAGGACGAACGCUGGCGGCAUGCCUAAUACAUGCAAGUCGAACGAGGUUUCCUUAAUGAUGGUUGGUGCUUGCAUCAACUUGACUUAAGAUCUAACCGAGUGGCGAACUGGUGAGUAACACGUGGGGAACCUGCCCUUAAGUAGGGGAUAACAUUUGGAAACAAAUGCUAAUACCGUAUAACAACAUAAACCACAUGGUUUAUGCUUGAAAGAUGGCUCUGCUAUCGCUUUUGGAUGGACCCGCGGCGUAUUAGCUAGUUGGUGAGAUAAUGGCUCACCAAGGCGAUGAUACGUAGCCGACCUGAGAGGGUAAUCGGCCACAUUGGGACUGAGAUACGGCCCAGACUCCUACGGGAGGCAGCAGUCGGGAAUAUUGCGCAAUGGAGGAAACUCUGACGCAGUGACGCCGCGUAUAGGAAGAAGGUUUUCGGAUUGUAAACUAUUGUCGAUAGGGAAGAAAAAGAC
rnacentral:rRNA from 1 species